GAACGCUAGCUACAGGCUUAACACAUGCAAGUCGAGGGGCAGCAUUGGGGUAGCAAUACUCAGAUGGCGACCGGCGCACGGGUGAGUAACACGUAUCCAACCUGCCGCUUACUCGGGGAUAGCCUUUCGAAAGAAAGAUUAAUACCCGAUGGUAUAAAGAGUUCGCAUGUUCUCUUUAUUAAAGAAUUUCGGUAAGCGAUGGGGAUGCGUUCCAUUAGAUAGUUGGCGGGGUAACGGCCCACCAAGUCUACGAUGGAUAGGGGUUCUGAGAGGAAGGUCCCCCACAUUGGAACUGAGACACGGUCCAAACUCCUACGGGAGGCAGCAGUGAGGAAUAUUGGUCAAUGGACGAGAGUCUGAACCAGCCAAAAGUAGCGUGAAGGAUGACUGCCCUAUGGGUUGUAAACUUCUUUUAUAAGGGAAUAAAGUAAGGGACGUGUCCCUUUUUGUAUGUACCUUAUGAAUAAGGAUCGGCUAACUCCGUGCCAGCAGCCGC
rnacentral:rRNA from 1 species